rnacentral:rRNA from 1 species
UGCGAAGGUGUGCCAGGCGGGUGAGGUAAUAGAGAUGGCCCAAGCGGUACCCGGAUUAACUGGGCGUAAAGAGGUGCUAGGCGGAUAGUUGAGUCGGUGGUUAAAUCCUGGGGCUUAACCUCAGGCUCGCAGUCGAAACGGUAUAUCUAGAGGAUGUAAGAGGUGAACAGAACUCACGGUGGAGGGGUGAAAUCCGUUGAUAUCGUGGGGAAUACCAAAUGCGAAGGCAGUUCACUGGUGCAUUCCUGACGCUGAGGCACGAAAGCGUGGGUAGCGAACGGGAUUAGAUACCCCAGUAGUC